CCUUUAUCCCUCCAGCUAACCAGAUCAUCACACAAUGCUUGUUCAUCAAUUGGUGGUAGAUUCAUCUUCUUCACUAAAGAGUCCAUGUCUUGAAAGGCGUCCAUGAAUGCGAGUUUGGUCCAAUCCGAAAAGUUACAAUGGGCCCACUUAUUUCUGAUGUUUGACCUUACUAUCUUUGCUUGAACUGCAGCGCCAGAUGUUACAAAUGGAUCUGCUUCGCACAUAAUUGCCAAAACUGCAGACAUGUCCAUAGUUUGGUCAAAAGCAGUAAAUUUUGCCAUGAAAGGUUGGACAAACAAUUUUGCCAAAGACAAAGGAUCUUUAACUUUAAAGUCAUAAGCUUUGGGCGACUUGUGGACAUUGUUGUUGUUGAUGUUCUCGUAUUUUAAAGAGAACGUUGAUGGAGGUAGUUUCUUUUGAUGUUUGGAAAACACUUGCUUGUGAAUUUCAUCGGGUGGUCGACACAGCAGAUGAUACCAGUUCUGUAUCUCGGUUGCAAGAACAUUUCUUAACUGAGGAGUAAGAACUUUGUUAAUACAAACGCCAACCACAGCCCAUCUUCGUUCUUCAUCUGAUAUACCGGUACUUGAAGUGGUAGUUAUGGCACUUGCCAUUGGUGAUCUAGAAAUUACACACGAAAAGUGGUGUCAUACUCGUUCACAGGUUGAAAGUUUGAAUAUAACAAGUGACCCCUUUAUUCCAGAUCAAAAUGCUUUACACAGCU